CCUACGGGAGGCAGCAGUGAGGGAUAUUGGGCAAUGGAGGCAACUCUGACCCAGCCAUGCCGCGUGAGUGAAGAAGGAUUUCGGUUUGUAAAGCUCUUUCGGAUGUGAAGAUGAUGACGGUAGCACCUAAUAAAGCCCCGGCUAACUUCGUGCCAGCAGCCCCGGUAAUACGCAGGGGGCGAUCGCUGUUCGGAAUUUCUGGGGGUAAAGGGAGUGUAGGGGGUUUAGUAAGAUAGUGGUGAAAUACGAGGGCGUAACGUGGGCAUUGCCAUUAUAACUAUUAGACUAGAGUGAAGGAGAGGAGAGUGGAAUACCCAGGGUAGAGGUGAAAUGCGUAGAUAUUGGGUAGAACACCAGUGGCGAAGGCGGCUAUCUGGCUUUACAUUGACGCUGAGGCUCGAAAGCGUGGGGAGCAAACAGGAUUAGAUACCCCAGUAGUC
rnacentral:rRNA from 1 species